rnacentral:rRNA from 1 species
UACGUAGGGUACAAGCGUUAAUCGGAAUUACUGGGCGUAAAGCGUGCGCAGGCGGUUCGGAAAGAAAGAUGUGAAAUCCCAGGGCUUAACCUUGGAACUGCAUUUUUAACUGCCGGGCUAGAGUAUGUCAGAGGGGGGUAGAAUUCCACGUGUAGCAGUGAAAUGCGUAGAGAUGUGGAGGAAUACCGAUGGCGAAGGCAGCCCCCUGGGAUAAUACUGACGCUCAUGCACGAAAGCGUGGGGAUCAAACAGG